UGUUAGCGGCGGACGGGUGAGUAACACGUGGAUAACCUACCUAUAAGACUGGGAUAACUUCGGGAAACCGGAGCUAAUACCGGAUAAUAUUUUGAACCGCAUGGUUCAAAAGUGAAAGACGGUCUUGCUGUCACUUAUAGAUGGAUCCGCGCUGCAUUAGCUAGUUGGUAAGGUAACGGCUUACCAAGGCAACGAUGCAUAGCCGACCUGAGAGGGUGAUCGGCCACACUGGAACUGAGACACGGUCCAGACUCCUACGGGAGGCAGCAGUAGGGAAUCUUCCGCAAUGGGCGAAAGCCUGACGGAGCAACGCCGCGUGAGUGAUGAAGGUCUUCGGAUCGUAAAACUCUGUUAUUAGGGAAGAACAUAUGUGUAAGUAACUGUGCACAUCUUGACGGUACCUAAUCAGAAAGCCACGGCUAACUACGUGCCAGCAGCCGCGGUAA
rnacentral:rRNA from 1 species